UAACUUUUUCCUAGAGUACUAGUGGUAAUGAACAGUUCAAGUUAUUUAUUUCUAGUGAGAUAUUCAAAAAAAAUUUAUUAUAAGUUUUCUUAACCAAUGUUUUAGACAUGUUAUUUUCAUAAUUUAAGUAUAUCAUAUAACCUAUAUGACUUUUUUGUUCCAUUAAUUUUCUUUCAAAAUUUUCAAUACGCAUUGAAACCAUUUACAAUUUUAUUGUUGUGAGUAUGUUACCAAAUUCAAUAUCGAAAAGUAGUUAUAAAUUUGGUUUAGUUGAAAAUUUCAGGAAGCCCCUUGAAAAAAGUUAGAGGUUGUUUAUAUUUCUCUAUGUUCAUUGAGAAGUUCCCAAAAUUUAGUGUAAUUAUGAUGCCCCUUGUAAAUCAUAGUUAUAGCAUAACAUUAUUUUGUUCCGGUUGUGAUGAUUUAAAAAAAAUUGAUCUUUUAUUUUAUAUAUAAGAAAUUUAGCAAUUUCAUUAAUAUUAUAUAUUAUUCUACUAAUACAUUUUCAAAAAUUCAAGAGGGGAUUUAUAAAUCACCCCCUUGUUGGGCCUUUCAGCUCACAUUUAUUAGAUUUUACUCUCCAAGAUGUCUUUAAAACCAUGUUUGAAAUACCAAAAUAUUUUAGGUUAUAGGUGAACUUAAGGGGUUAUGUGAAAUUUUGUGCAAGUAUGGGGUUUAAGCGAAAAUUUUCCUUUAUUUAUUAAUAAAGCCAUUAGGCUUUUUCUUCUUGAACGGGAAGAAACAGAGGAGCAGAUGAGAGAAAAGAGAGAAAGAAAAGGAGAAAGAGAAGAAAAGAAAGGAAAUGAAAGAAGAAGAAAAGGAAGAAAAGAAGGAGAAAGGAGAAGGAAGAGAAGAGGAAAUUGAUAUGAAAAGGGGAUAGGGUGAAGAAGAAGGAAAAUUUGUAGGAGAUUUUAACACCGGCUUGGGAAAUAUCCAAAUCCGUGAGUGGGAACAAAACCUUUACCUGUAGUCAUUUUUGCAAAUUUUAUAGUAUUUAUUUUGAAAAACAUAGAUUUUUUUAUGGAAAUCUCUUACAAAACAAAAGAAAAUAAUAGUUUUCUUUAUGCAUGUUAUGGGUUUUGGUUAUGGGUGGCUAUAAGGUAAAGGUUACAUUAUUAUGAGAAUUUAGAAUGCCUAAUUAAAUUAUGUUGUGUGUAACUAAGAACUAUAAUGGAUUAAAUUUAGUUUGGUGACCAAUUGGAAGUGUGGGAAUCAAUUUAAUUGAUGUUUUGUGUUGCAGUUAAGUUAGAAGUGUUUAAUUAAGUCUAGUACAUGAUUAAAUUUGCUUAAUGUGAGUUAAUGGACAUGUUGUAUGGUCGUAGAGCCAAAGGAAAUCUUAGUUCAGUGUUAAGUAUGAGCAUUUUGUUGGCUUUGCUUAGUUAGUAUUGUAGUUGAAUGUAGAGUUGCACAUAAAUUAAUUUAAUAUUGUGGUUGUGGCAGUUUCCAAUGAUUAUUGUCCCAAAAUUUAUAAUAUUAAGUCAUUUGAUUAUAAAUAUAGUGAUAAGAAGUAUAUCAUUUAGAUGUUCUUGACUAUUACCUAUUAUGUGAUUAUGCUUUAUUUAUGCGGUAUUUCAUGUCAAGUACGACAAAUUUAAGUGUUUUGCCUAUGUGGUAUUUUAUGCCAGGUACAACAGAUUUAAAUGUUGUGUUUGUGCGGUGAUUCAUGCUAGGGACGCCCUUUGGGUAUAACAGAUUUCUCUUAAGGGUAUUAGAAGUAGCAACAAUUCAGGUGAUUGUCUGGUGAAAUGCUAUAUAAGUUGUUGAAUAAAUUAUAAGUUGUUGGAUAUAUAACAAGAAUAAAUUAUAAGUUGUUGAA